GAUGAACGCUAGCGGCAGGCUUAACACAUGCAAGUCGAGGGGCAGCAUGAAUGUAGCAAUACAUUUGAUGGCGACCGGCAAACGGGUGCGGAACACGUACACAACCUUCCUAUAAGUGGGGAAUAGCCCAGAGAAAUUUGGAUUAAUACCCCGUAACAUAAUGAUGUGGCAUCACAUUAUUAUUAUAGCUACGGCGCUUAUUGAUGGGUGUGCGGCUGAUUAGAUAGUUGGCGGGGUAACGGCCCACCAAGUCUACGAUCAGUAGCUGAUGUGAGAGCAUGAUCAGCCACACGGGCACUGAGACACGGGCCCGACUCCUACGGGAGGCAGCAGUAAGGAAUAUUGGUCAAUGGACGCAAGUCUGAACCAGCCAUGCCGCGUGAAGGAUUAAGGUCCUCUGGAUUGUAAACUUCUUUUAUCUGGGACGAAAAAAGGCUAUUCUUAGUCACUUGACGGUACCAGAUGAAUAAGCACCGGCUAACUCCGUGCCAGCCGCCGCAGUAACAC
rnacentral:rRNA from 1 species